CUCACGGCCACGCGCAGCUCCCUCGGUCACUCUCACCGGGCCGCCACUCCUGCAAGAUUCUUAACUUCACAAUGGAAUUGAUAUGGAAGUGCAGUGGUGUGGGCAACACUAAUUUCAAAAGAACUGAUCACGUUCGUGAAGUCGUAUUGGAUGUGAGGUAGUUCGGGCUUCCUGUUAUGGACAAGAUGGAUGGUAUUGUACAAGAUGAAAUGGGUGGG